UUGUCAUCCAUUGGAACUACUUCAUGAUAUACUAUGGAUUUUAAUAGUUUUUAGCCAAAGUAUAUGUCUUUUUUGGAGUUUAUUAUAUAUCUUUGGAGUCUGUUUUAGGUCUUUUCAGGUCUAGGUGUGUUUUGGAGCAUUGUGGAGAUUAUGGAGCCAUUUAGAACAUAAGGAUGAGGAAACUCAUAGUUGUUCAAGAAAUUAGAAGUCAAAGCCCUUUUUUAAAAGUAUUGUCGAUCGACACCAUGGUAACCCUCGACAUCGACGCGAGUAAACAAGCGACUCUAUUUCAAGAUCAAGUCUGGCCCAUAAAUUUCCAAAUAUUACAAGAUUGCCCCUGGUCGAUUUUAUAUCUAGUAUUUAUAGUUUUUAACCCAUUUUUAGGUGUACAUAUUUAGGGACACACUUUCAUUGAGCUUUAUUAUUCUCAGAAGUUUUAGAGAGAAGAUAAAGACUCCUUAACAUAUUUGUAUUAGAACUAUAGUAUUUUUUAAUCUAUCUAUUUAAUGAAAUUUAUUCUGUUUAUCUUUCUGUUUUCCUUUAAUUGAAUCCUUCAAAAAAUUAUAUUACUGCUUGUAUUCUAGAGCAGCUAACUAGAAAACUGAAUAUAGGAUAAUUAACAACCGCGAGCGUCGGUUCGACUUGAAAUUAAUUUUGUUGAGCUAGGUUGUUAGGCGCACGCGAGAAGUGGUUUAAUUAAUCUGGAGAACAUAUCUAUAUGAGCGUUAAUGCUUGUUUAAGA
rnacentral:lncRNA from 1 species